CGCUAAGCCAGCGCCAAAGCCAGAGCCAGAGCCACAGCCACAGUCAGAGCCAGAGCAACAGUCAGAGUCAAAGUUAAAACCAAGCGCCACAGCCAAGGAGCCAGCCCAAUAGCAUACAGACGGAGCGGAGCGGAGCGCCUCAACAGCCAGAGCCGAGCUCAGCCGCAGAUAUUCUUCUGCAUCUUCUGCAAGCCAAGCAAAUCGAAAGGAAACGGAAUCCGAAUCAGAACUCAACACAAUUGAUUGGAAAUUCGGUUGCACGCCCCCACACGCACAGCACCCAAAAAACAGGUAAACACGAAAAUUGGCGAGGAAAAUUAUCAUCGAGUCACGUAAUUAAAACGAAACGUAAGACGAGCAGAAAGAAGAAGGCGAACAGCAACAGGCAAAUAUUUGCAUACCAGUUGAAAAGGGAGAAAGAGAGGGAGCCAAGGAAAACGCUAACGGGGCUAAUAAUAAACUAAGGCCCAACUACCGCGUUAACGUGGCCAUAACCAUUGCCCGUUACUGCUACAAAUACACUUACACUUACUGCUGAUAAUAAAACGUCGGAGCGUUGCGUCUCAAGCAGAGGGAAGCAGAGAAAAGCAGAGGCAAGCAGAGGA